UCUUCGGCGUUCGAGUUGUAAUUUGAAGAUAUUUUCUCCGAGCAGUCCUUUAUCUAUGUUCCUUGGAACAGGACGUCAUAGAGGGUGAGAAUCCCGUAUGAUUUGGGCUCCUGCUCUUUUGUGAGAUUUUAUCGAAGAGUCGAGUUGUUUGGGAAUGCAGCUCUAAGUGGGUGGUAAAUUCCAUCUAAAGCUAAAUAUUGGCGAGAGACCGAUAGCGAACAAGUACAGUGAUGGAAAGAUGAAAAGAACUCUGAAGAGAGAGUGAAAAAGUACGUGAAAUUGCUGAAAGGGAAGGGCUUGAGGUCAGACUUGGUGUUUUACGAUUAUCUUCCCCUUGUGGGUUGUGCACUCGUUUCUCACUGGGCCAACAUCAGUUUUUCUUGCGGAGCACGCUUAGGAAUGUGGCUCUCUUCGGAGAGUGUUAUAGCCUUUGUACGAUUCGCUUGGGAGACUGAGGACUGCGCAUUAUGCUAGGAUGUUGGCGUAAUGACCUUAAGCCGCCCGUCUUGAAACACGGACCAAGGAGUCUAACGUCUAUGCAAGUGUUUGGGUGUUAAACCCGUACGCGUAAUGAAAGUGAACGUAGGUUGGGGCCUUCGGGUGCACAAUCGACCGAUCCUGAUGUUUUCAGAUGGAUUUGAGUAAGAGCAUAGCUGUUGGGACCCGAAAGAUGGUGAACUAUGCCUGAAUAGGGUGAAGCCAGAGGAAACUCUGGUGGAAGCUCGUAGCGGUUCUGACGUGCAAAUCGAUCGUCGA
rnacentral:rRNA from 1 species